GACAGAGGGGGCAAGCGUUGCUCGGAAUCACUGGGCGUAAAGGGCGCGUAGGCGGGGUGGCAAGUCAGUCGUGAAAUCUCUCGGCUCAACCGAGAAACGUCGGCUGAUACUGCCGUUCUUGAGGGAUGCAGAGGAGACUGGAAUUCCCGGUGUAGCGGUGAAAUGUGUAGAGAUCGGGAGGAACACCGGUGGCGAAGGCGGGUCUCUGGGCAUCUCCUGACGCUGAGGCGCGAAAGCCAGGGGAGCGAACGGG
rnacentral:rRNA from 1 species